AAACCAACCGGGAUUGCCUCAGUAACGGCGAGUGAAGCGGCAAAAGCUCAAAUUUGAAAUCUGGCGCCUUCGGUGCCCGAGUUGUAAUUUGUAGAAGGCGACUUUUGGGGCCGGUUCUUGUCUAUGUUCCUUGGAACAGGACGUCAUGGAGGGUGAGAAUCCCGUAUGGCGAGGACUUGAGCUCCUUGUAAAGCGCUUUCGAAGAGUCGAGUUGUUUGGGAAUGCAGCUCUAAGUGGGUGGUAAAUUCCAUCUAAAGCUAAAUACAGGCGAGAGACCGAUAGCGAACAAGUACAGUGAUGGAAAGAUGAAAAGAACUUUGAAAAGAGAGUGAAAAAGUACGUGAAAUUGUUGAAAGGGAAGGGCAUUUGAUCAGACAUGGCGUUUUGCGCCCUUUGCUCCUUGUGGGCGGAGGAAUCUCGCAGCUCGCUGGGCCAGCAUCGGUUUUUGCGGCAGCAGAAAACCUAGGGAACGUAGCUUGUGUCUUUGACUCAAGAACUUAUAGCCCUGGGGAAUACUGCCAGCGGGGACCGAGGACUGCGGUGCUGUCACCAAGGAUGCGGCAUAUUUCGG
rnacentral:rRNA from 1 species